rnacentral:tRNA from 1 species
CACGGUGGUCUAGCGGUUAGAACGCUGACCUUGUAAUCCUGGGGUCUCGGGUUCGAUUCCCGGCUGUG